AUUAUUCAUAUAGAUGGGCCCAAAUUCAACAUAAUUGGUGUCUUUAUUAGAAGAGAUUAGGAUCCAGACACACACAGAAGGAAGACCUCGUGAAGAUACAGGGACAUGAAAACCAUCUGCAAGCCAAGGAGAGAGGCCCCCAGAGAAACAAUUCUGCUGACACCUUGAUAUUGGACUUUUAGGCUCCAGAACUUUGAGGAAAUACGUUUCUUUGGUUAAGCCACCCAGUCUGUGGCGCUCUGUUAUGGCAGCCUGAGUAAACAAAUGCAUAACCCCUCAAUAAAGCUGUCUAAGACAACAGGACAAGGAACUGAGAUCUGGAACAGUCCUGUUCCAGCAGGAGACCUGUCAGCCCAAGCUCAGCUCGUCCUUCAUAGUCAAUAAACCCAGUGCCAACUUAGACCUUCCCUUCUACUUGGGUCUCAAUUCAUCAAGAAGUCAACUGUUCGCUUGGGACAGAAGAGCCAUCUGUGAACUAGCACCAUUAACAAUUGACCUCUUUUUUUUUUUUUUUAAUUCCAUUUAUGGAGGUAGAAGGGAAAAGUGUGAGGAGCUUUUGCGUAUCAACACACUACUGUCAGGAUUCUGACUAGAGUGCAUGGCCAUGCUUAGCUCAGACCAUCUUCAUCGAAACCGACAGUGGGUACCUGACAUUAAAAAAGUUUAUGACAACAGAUUGUCUAGAUUGGUUAGAUCUUCAAAUAGGACUGACACCCCUCCCCAUUUCUUUCUUCUCGAGUGGUUUGACAUUUGUGCAUAAUAUGAAGAAAGAUCGUCAAGACUGAGACGUGGCUGCUAGGAGGCUUCAGCUCAUGUUUGCUCAUCUCCUGUAUGGUGAAACCCUGGCAACGAGACAAACCCUCAUUCACAGCAGAACAAAGCACUAGUUAUGUGUGUUGAAAUUCCUUAGAGAAAAUGUCUUGCAGGCUGCUGGGGAGUGCAUGAAUGCUGGAAAUACUUCCCCAAGCGUUGCUCAACGUCCUGGGAAGAUAGUCUGCUGGCAUCUGGACGCCUUGCCUGGAGAGGGGUUACAGGACUCUAGGGCGUGUGGGUCUGGCUCAGAAGCGGAGAUCCCAGACAGCCUUCCCAGGUCCUGCAGAAUCAGAGGUGACUCAGCUGUAAGGAACCCCCAUCAUCAGAAAGUGGAAGUGGCCGGUGGAGGUGGCCAGCGUCAUGAACAAGGGAAAUGAAGUCAGACACACUUGGCCUUCUCCUUGCAAUCUACCCCGAGGAUGGCUCUCAUGCCAGUCAUAGAGGUGGCUGCUUUCUGGAAAAGGCAAAAGUCGUUUUUUUUUUUUUUUUUUUGAUGCAACCGCCUGCCUAGUGCUCUGACGCAUACAAUUUCCUCCAUAAGUCAAACAGCCACUCCUUUGCACCUGUUACGGAGAGACUUGGCCCUGGGAUUCAAGAUGAGACCAGCAAGUGACAGGGCCCCUCAGCCUCCAGAUGCAGUUUGAAUUUUGUGUAGGUUUCGUGAUUUCCACUACCGUGUUGAAGACCUUGAGGCUCACCCCUGUGAAAAAGGAGACAGGACUGCUGUGGGCUCUUUCGUCAAGCUCCCCAGCCAUCACCAGAACUGGGAACUUUCCUUACUAAGGUUUGAUGAACUUCUAGGGCCCUGAGAAGGGGUUGGAGAGCCUCAAACAACAUUGUGAAAUGAAUGAAGUUUGUAUUUGGCUCCUUAGAGCAACCCCACUCCUGACAGCCAGCAACCCAGUGCCUUCCCCAGCCUUUCUGCGCCUCCUCUCAAACCCCCAGGGCCACCAUCAACUACUCCCCGAAAGCCAAAAAGGCAAAAGGUAGGGUACCUUUUGGGGAGGACACUCCAAGAGCAAAAAGCCUCGGAUCUCAAAUGAGCCUCUCUCCUCAAGGAAUUUCAGGCUCCGAGACAGGCAGCGUCUACACAUUGUUUUGUCACACUCAGCCCCACCCCUUCUCCAAAGCCCAUGGGAAACCGGCUGACGUCAUAUGUAUAUGGCGCUGCACCUCGGUGACUGAACAGUCGUGGUCCUCUGCUGAAGCCUGAGGGUUUUAGAGCAGCCCUUUCCCCAGAGUUUGUUUCCUGCACGAAACUAGGCUCUUCGGCCUCCUUUGCACAGUGCAGUUGCCUUAUGUCUGCCUCAUCACCCGUCAGUUCAUUGUAGCCAUUAAAAGCCAGACGGAUGAACAGUGACAUACCAGCAGCAUGGCCUUCCAGACCAGGGACGAAACAAUGUCCCAGGACCACUUCCUUAUGUGACGUUGUUCUGAAAGGGUCAGUCAAUACAAUUAGACAACAGAAUGAAGGAAUGUAAUAUAAAUAUUUUGAAAGGGAAAAAUAUCAUUAUUUACAGAUGAUCUGAUCACAUAGUUGAAAAAUACGAUAUAAUUAUGUGGAAAAUUGAGUACAGUAAGAUGGCCAGAUUUUUUUUUAAGGCAAAAUCAAUGUCCUUGGAGGAAAUAACAACCCAUUAGAAAAUAAAAUGUAAUAGGCCCCAUUCACAAAGGCAGCUCUACAACAAUAAAAUAAAAUAAAUAAAUAAAAUAAAAUAAUAAAAUAAAAUAUGUACAAGACAGAUGAAUAGAGUAGUAAAACCCAUUCGAGAGACAUAAAAUAAAGCCUGAAUAAAUAACAGGCUAUCUUGUUCUCAGAUGGGCAACUUCAUAUUGUGUGGGGGACUUCCCAGAUAUUCUGAUAGUGACUUCUAGUUUAAUUGCAUUAUAGGCAGCAAGGAUAAUUUGGAUGACUUAAAUUCUUUUAAGUUUGUUAAGGUUUAAUGCAUGGCACAGAAAAGGGUUUAUGGGAAUGUUCUAUGUGCACUUGAAAGUUAUGUGCAUACUGCUCUUAUUGGAUAGAAUACUUCAUAAAUAUUAAUUAGAUCAAAUUGUUCAAGUUCUCUACAGCUUUGCUGAUUUUCUGUCUACCUGUUCUAUCAAUUAUUGAGAGAGGAAGGUUGAAAUCUCCAACUGUAAUUGUGGGUCUGUCUAUUUCUCCUUUCAGUACUGUCACUUUAUGCCAUGAAUAUUUUGAAGGUCUGUUGUUUGGUGCAUUCACCAAGGAGGUAUAACAAUCUUAGACAUGUAUAUGCCUAACAAAAGAACUUUAAACAUACAUAUCUUCUUGGUGACUUGAUCUCUUUACCAUUAAAUAGUGUCCCUGUUCAUCUCUAGGAAUAUUCUGUAUUCUGAAAU